AUCGCUUCUCGGCCUUUUGGCUAAGAUCAAGUGUAGAUCCCUGUAGUGCAUACCAGCCAGCAGCACCUGGCAGCCAACAGCUGCCCCAAGAAUUUUUUUUUUUUUUUUUUUUUUUUGGUACCGGGGAUCGAACUCAGGUCCUUGCACUUGCGCAGCAGGCAGUGAAACCACU
rnacentral:snRNA from 1 species